GACGAACGCUGGCGGCGUGCUUAACACAUGCAAGUCGAACGGAAAGGCCCUGCUUUUGUGGGGUGCUCGAGUGGCGAACGGGUGAGUAACACGUGAGUAACCUGCCCUUGACUUUGGGAUAACUUCAGGAAACUGGGGCUAAUACCGGAUAGGAGCUCCUGCUGCAUGGUGGGGGUUGGAAAGUUUCGGCGGUUGGGGAUGGACUCGCGGCUUAUCAGCUUGUUGGUGGGGUAGUGGCUUACCAAGGCUUUGACGGGUAGCCGGCCUGAGAGGGUGACCGGACAAAUUGGGACUGAGAUACGGCCCAGACUCAUACGGGAGGCAGCAGUGGGGAAUAUUGCACAAUGGGAGGAAGCAUGAUGCAGCAACGCCGCGUGCGGGAUGACGGCCUUCGGGUUGUAAACCGAUUUCGCCUGUGACGAAGCGUGAGUGACGGUAAUGGGUAAAGAAGCACCGGCUAACUACGUG
rnacentral:rRNA from 1 species